rnacentral:tRNA from 1 species
GGCUUUCUUACUUUUAAAGGAUAUUAGUAAUCCAUUGGUCUNAGNAACCA